rnacentral:siRNA from 1 species
UACGAAUGAACAUGAACCUUAGUU